GAUGAACGCUGGCGGCGUGCUUAACACAUGCAAGUCGAACGAAGCAUUUAGAACGGAUUACUUCGGUUUGAAGUUCUUUAUGACUGAGUGGCGGACGAGUGAGUAACGCGUGGGUAACCUGCCUUUUACUGGGGGAUAGCAGCUGGAAACGGCUGGUAAUACCGCAUAAGCGCACAAUGUUGCAUGACAGGGUGUGAAAAACUCCGGUGGUAUAAGAUGGACCCGCGUCUGAUUAGCUAGUUGGUGAGAUAACAGCCCACCAAGGCGACGAUCAGUAGCCGACCUGAGAGGGUGACCGGCCACAUUGGGACUGAGACACGGCCCAGACUCCUACGGGAGGCAGCAGUGGGGAAUAUUGCACAAUGGAGGAAACUCUGAUGCAGCGACGCCGCGUGAGUGAAGAAGUAAUUCGUUAUGUAAAGCUCUAUCAGCAGGGAAGAUAGUGACGGUACCUGACUAAGAAGCUCCGGCUAAAUACGUGCCAGCAGCCGCAGUAA
rnacentral:rRNA from 1 species